rnacentral:rRNA from 1 species
GUCUACAGCCAUACCACCCUGAACAUGCCUGAUCUUGGAAGCUAAGCAGUAUCAGGCCUGGUUAGUACUUGGAUGGGAGAACUCUGGGGAAUACUGGGUGCUGUAUGCU